UACGGAAGGUUCGGGCGUUAUCCGGAUUUAUUGGGUUUAAAGGGAGCGUAGGCGGAUUUUUAAGCCGGCUGUGAAAGUUCGGGGCUCAACCUCGGAAUUGCAGUCGGAACUGGAGAUCUUGAGUUGGUGCAGCGGUGCCGGAACUCGUGGUGUAGCGGUGAAAUGCUUAGAUAUCACGAAGAACUCCGAUCGCGAAGGCAGGUGCCGGACGCCGUACUGACGCUGAGGCUCGAAGGUGCGGGUAUCGAAC
rnacentral:rRNA from 1 species